ACAAUGAUGUGAUGAUUUAGGUUCUCUGGCGUAUUGUGCAUGCCAUGAUUGAGGAAUCAACGAUCCAUCGAGGCGAGGCUAUCUAUAUAGUACUGGAAUAGGGGCAAGCCCGGCACACUUAAAGCCAUUCCAACAAUCUUAUUCGUCGUAAGCCCUUCUAGCAGGAGCUGAGUAAAGGUCCGCUCAAGGCCAUGGAAAGGCAGAUAGUACUUGAUACAGGACGAGCCCAGUCUCUAUCUAGUACGAUAUUCUGGUAUGUUUCACUGAAUUGGCAUUUCUAGAUACCAAACAAGUAAAAAACAGCAAGUUAGUUAGCUCAGUUGGCAUAGGCGAAAAAAAGAAAAGGAAUCAACGAUAAAUCGGGGAAAGAGCCGCAAGCGCGAUAUCAUCUCUAUAUAGGAAAAAUGGAUUUUUCUUAUUUUAUAAAGUUAUGGGACCCUGGCUUUAAAAUCUUUCUUUUUUCUCGGCUCGAAAGAGAAAAAUCAAAGUCAGGUAGCCGACGAAAACCGAAAUAGCACAGAUACAAAGUAAAGAAAGUAUACACGCGAUAAUAGAUAGAUAUAUAUUAUAUAUAAUGUUAGAAGGAGCUAAAUCAAUAGGUGCCGGAGCUGAACUCGUAUUCAGAGAUGGAGGAAAUCAAGUCUCAUGUUGCUCCUCAGAAAAUGCGUAUAGUAUAUAGUAAUAGUAAUAGUAAUAGUAAUAGUAAUAGUAAUCUCAUUGGCCCACUAGAUAAGGAUGGGACAAACGCUCUAGUGUAUGCGAAACGAGCAUUGCGUUUUGUCCGAGAAGUUCGUGAAAGAGUGCUCGUUACAUCAAAAGAGAUGGCGAUGAUCUGUCAAAUCGACAUUGUGUCGGUGUUCAGUCUCCCGCUCCUGUUCUCAACUAUACUAUGGCUUUCGUUACUAUACUAUGGCUUUCGUUGGGUAGAGCACGGGAGAAUAAAGUCUAUAGUGUAUGCGUUACUGUACUGGGAAGCUAGCAUUUUUGCUUGUCAUGGAAUCAAGUCUAUUUGUUCGAAUGUUCUUUUUUUCGUUUCGUUGGAAAAACCAACGCCGACGUCAAGAAUGGAUCAGUCUAGUCUCCUUUCUCUUUUGGGAGCAGAGCUGAAAAAGAUGGAAUUGUCAAGUACGAUGAUAUUUUUAUUAACGGAUAGAAAAAUGCUAUUAUCAAGUAGUAAACCCAUUAUGAUUGCAACUCGUGGGAUGCCUGGAAUCCCACUAAAUCGAGAAUCGGAAUCGGUGGAGGAUGUGCAUAGGGUACUCCGAGCCCUCCCCUUAUUUAGAGAAAUGGAAGGUAUCUUGCGUGAGAGGAACCUGAAUCUCCCGUCAGUACAGGAAAUAAGCGCUUUCCGUGUGAAUCUAUUCUCUGGUAUCCGGCGUGAGAGUGCGAUUGCGGACUACGACGCUUUUUGGCGCUCCUUACUCGAGGAGAUUCACACACCUCAGGGACGUAGUUGUUUUGGUCAGAGAAUACAAGAUCUGCACGCCCGAAUGUCUGCCGAGGGCAACUGGGACUACUUGAUUGCCCAACAAGGCAGAGGGUAUUUUGGUAACCUACCUAAUCUCAACAGCCCGUUGGAUCAAUAUCAAUUUGGAAUUCACCCAAUUCUGGAUCUGAAUAUUGGUGAGUACUAUGUCUCAUUCACAAAUCUAUCCUUGUCUAUGCUACUCACUCUCGGUUUGGUCCUACUUCUGGUGCUGCCAAUGAUUCUUCGUUCAUUAGAAUGUCGAUUCCUCACAAUCGCUCUUUGUGAUGCUGCGGAACCAUGGCAAUUAGGAUCUCAAGACGCAGCAACACCUAUGAUGCAAGGAAUCAUUGACUUACAUCACGAUAUCUUUUUCUUCCUCAUUCUGAUUUUGGUUUUCGUAUCACGGAUGUUGGUUCGCGCUUUAUGGCAUUUCAACGAGCAAACUAAUCCAAUCCCGCAAAGGAUUGUUCAUGGAACUACUAUCGAAAUUAUUCGGACCAUUUUUCCUAGUGUCAUUCCAUUGUUCAUUGCUAUACCAUCGUUUGCUCUGUUAUACUCAAUGGACGGGGUAUUAGUAGAUCCAGCCAUUACUAUCAAAGCUAUUGGACAUCAAUGGUAUCGGAGUGCGCCUCUUAACGAGGGUGAUUUAAGUGCAACGAAAUGUACCGGUGGUUCGCGAAGCAUCUGGCUUACCGGUCAUCUCCCAUUCCCGUCGUCGAGAGACUAAAAGAACUAUAGCAUGCCAGAAACGGGGAGUUGAGGUGGUUAGACCUAUACCCCGAAAUGCUCCCAGCAUAGGAGCCUAUGGUUCCAUUCUUGUUAUUGCUGGAGGUACACAUACCUCUUCUCGGUGUGGUGGAGCGAUAUACGAAAAAUAGAUGCUAAGCCCGCAAUGUCCGAUAACGGGGCUUCAGUAGUGAAUCUAUCGGCACCACAGCAGUGGCAUACAACUUUGGACCUAAGGGCCGGCCCCGUUACCUUUCGGAAUGGGGGAUCCCCGUUGGCAACAACCACGGUAGUAGUUGCGGAACUACUGGGCCAAGAGAGGACAACCUGUUGUUCCUGCUCCUCCUUCUUCGCUUCGGGGACGGAGGUCCUACGGUAGGUAAGAGCACGCACAAGCACUUGGCCGAAGGGGACCAGCGCUUCUACUCCUCCACCGAGGAGCCGUUCUUGCGAGAAGCAAGGGAUGUCGUGAACGGUGGGAGGUCAAAGAAAGAGAAUUGACCUCUGAAUACAGUGAUCCUAUGAUCUAGAUAGACUCCGUCCUUUUUUUUUAGAUAAGGGUGACUCAAGAGGGGGGAGAACUACCUAACUAAAGAAGAAUAGCGCUCUUUAAAAAUAAGAGUAGGCGUGGAGAGCUUUUUGCGGGGAAACUUGCAAGUCAAGUUUGGGGGGAGGCGGGCGUCGACCCAACCUUAUGAGUAUUCGGACUAUAACAGUUCCGAUGAACAGUCACUCACUUUUGACAGUUAUACGAUUCCAGAAGAUGAUCCAGAAUUGGGUCAAUCACGUUUAUUAGAAGUUGACAAUAGAGUGGUUGUACCAGCCAAAACUCAUCUACGUAUGAUUGUAACACCCGCUGAUGUACCUCAUAGUUGGGCUGUACCUUCCUCAGGUGUCAAAUGUGAUGCUGUACCUGGUCGUUCAAAUCUUACCUCCAUCUCGGUACAACGAGAAGGAGUUUACUAUGGUCAGUGCAGUGAGAUUUGUGGAACUAAUCAUGCCUUUACGCCUAUCGUCGUAGAAGCAGUGACUUUGAAAGAUUAUGCGGAUUGGGUAUCCAAUCAAUUAAUCCUCCAAACCAACUAAACCGGGGAAGCUGAAGCGGAAAUGCAAUUCUCGGGUGAGGGAAGGCUUCGCUCGCUCGCUCAAAAAGCUCUAACGCUCGUUUACGAGUGGAGUGCAUAAGCCCUUAUUGAAGUAGGGCGAGGCCUUACUACACGAGCUCGUAAGUAAAGCACGGAACGAGCCUUGUCUACGAAGCUUCGCUUCAUCAUCUUGCUUGCUUCUGCUCGUAAGUAACGUACCACUCUUCUUGUCUUCUCUUUGAAACCGUCGAUCAAUCCUUAUCAAGAAAGAGAGAUUUUAAGAACUACCUCUACCCACAAGAUAAAGAUAUUGGUUAUUUCCGGCUUUCCUUUAGGAAACAGAAGCAUGAGUGAAGUAGUACGAUACCAGGAAAAACCACAGAAACGUAUGAUCCAAGGAAUGCUAGAAAGUGCCAGAACUGGCUAUGCAUAAAGAAGACCGAGCCGGAGCAUCUAGAUGAGAUUCCACCAGAGCAGACUUCUCCGCCCCCGGAAGAAAGAAGGAUUUCCAAUCAAACCCAGAGGAUCAUCACCAGUCAACCGCAAGGAAAGGAAUAGUACUAGUUCCGUCUCCCCUAUAAAAGUAGGCAACCCUAUUAUUCGGUCAAUCAAGUGAUUAAGUAUGAUUCAUUUCUGAGCGAGCGUCGAAUAUACAAAACUUUCCAUCUCCACCGACGGCAGAUUUCUAUCUUGCCAUUUCAAUUUGGCUCUAUGAGAAGCUUGUAUCUCCGAUUGGGACUUGUCUUCCCAGUAAAACAUCACAGGGCCCACUCCUCUUGCAUUUGACCCUCUCUUCCUGCAAGCUCCAACUUCUAAGGUUCAGUGAAUUAGAUAGUUCUCCGUCUAUCUCUUUUUAGAUUUGAUGUAAAUCACGGAGAGUUCAUUGCGAAACUCUUUAGUCCGAUUUUCUUAGAGCAUAGAAAAGGUAUAAGUAAGUCUGUGUACUCGAGUCAAAUAGCAGGACUAGUUCUGGCUUCUCUAUCCCGGAUAAGAGAUUCAACAUAGCUUCGCCUGCCUUCGUGAUUGCUUGUGUAAUACAGAAAGAAGAAAAAGAGCUGUGGGAUGCAAGUCGAACUAGACUGAAUGUGCCAGGCUUCUAUUUAUCAGGGCCACAAGUAGAAAGUGAGUGGAGGCAAAUGUUGCAUGCAAUUGACUCAGAUGUCCCUCCAAGUUUUCCAUGGAACCAAGGUCAUAAAAAGAUGUAUCUAGAGUGGGCGUCGGUUGACUUUUCUUUUAUGGGUGGGUCAAACCUAGCCUAGACGAACGAGUGGAUAGAAGCAAGGCUAGCCGCCCUAGUGCUUCUAACUCAUUGGAACACGCAUGGACGGAGUGCCAGGGAAGAAAACCGGAGAGUUUCGGCUUUGGUAUGAGCUGCUUUGAAUCAAGAAUCAGUUUGGUUGAGUUUUGAAUGCGCCAUGAAUAAGAAAAAUGACGGGGCAUAAAUGCUUCGUACACGUACACCUUAGAGAAGGAGAGCGGGGUAAAAAGCAGCCAGCCAAAACAUGUCAAGAGUCGUAUUUUUAUACAGAUAGAUAAGUAAAAGAAGCCGGAUGUCGAUUUCUUUCGCCUAAUCUUUUCCUCUACUUCCAGUACCCUAGCCCACAGUCAAUCCCACACUUCUGUUCGUUCACUUCCCCUAUCUUCUGAAUGCCGGAUUAGGAUGAUCGCAUUUAGAAAAGAUGCCUUUUCACUUGAAAUCCGAGACUUGACUUCUACACCAACGCAAGAAGAAACCUUCCGUACUUUGGCGCAAGUGAAAUUACCAAUGAAGGUGAAUCUAUCAGAAAGACAAUAACGUGUUGACCAGAAUUGACUGAUUGAAUCGAUUCUUCUUUCCCACUGAUUCUAUAUGAGAUCCAAAUCGAGUCACCUUUUCCAAGGCUGCUUUGAUUCGCUCUUCUACUACUCAUACUCAUACUCAUUGCAUUGUUGUUUGUAUAUGAAAGGCUAUAGAAUGACAUAGUUGAUCGAGAUGUGCGCCUGCGAAGAAUGAACUCUCCUCGUUCUACAUGAGUCGAUUCUUUCUCUACCUACCUCAAAUUCAAAGGAGAUCUGGGUAAAAUAGUUUCUCGGACUACAGUGAGAGAAGUGGAUCUUCUCGUUCCCAGGCGGCGAGGGUCAUCGGUGCGCCUCCACCUCACCUAAAGGAAGAAGUUAUUUCAUCUAUAAACCUAGUAUCUACCCGAAUCAGCAGAAUUUCUGUAAGGCUUACCGAAAUGGAAGAGAGGUCUAGACACGGGUUAUUGGUGAUCGACUAACCAAAUCUGCUCACUUCCUGCCUAUCAAGAAAACGGAUAAGCAGGGUAAGUUGGCCUAAUUGGUAGAUAAAGAAAUAUUGAGGCAGGAUUUGGAUUUAGAGAAUCAAAAAGCAAUCAACCAUCCCCAAACAAAGUGCUGCUGGAGGGAAAUGCUAAAGUCCCAUUCCGAAUUCCAUUAAGGUUGUAUUCCUACUAAGAAACUCUGGGCUAUACUCUACAUCCCAUCCCAGCUCGUAAGUAAUCCUAUUUCUGUAUUAGCCUUUGAACAGCAUGGGCCAUGAAAGGACCGGAGAAGGAAUGCAGUAGGAUGAUUCUAUCUUUCCUAUGUAUGGGGCACACGAUUCUCUUUCCAUACACUAGUAAAAAUCCAGAAUAGGGCGAGGGUACCUAAAUAUCCAUCCAGAGCGAGUAGCGAUUCUUUUACUUACUACUUUUUGAAAGAUUACACCUUCGACUAUCUCUAAGCACGCAUGUCCCACUAUCUAUAUGUGAGAACAGGCUGUAAGCACGCAUGCCCCUCCUAUCUAUGAAAGAGAACAGGAAUUCCCUACACCAACAUAUCUAGCGAGGGAAAUAACUCCUUCCAAUCUACGAAAAGAGGGCACUACGAAAGCUAAUUAGUCAAACCAGCACCAAAAUAGCGAGUGAGUAACAAGCACUAUUUCGACCAUACUCUCUUGUCCUUAGAUUAAUACUAUUUCUUUAGCAGUCAACUCACUAUUUGCACUCCUUGCAUUCCAUGAGCUUUUCUUUCAUUUCAAUAGUAAGCAGGAAAUGCGAAUAAGAGAAGGGUAGAAGAAGCGAUCUGCGCAUUUCUUUAUUUCACAACGGACGUUAGAUAAAUCAUUUCUUAGGUAUGCUACAUUCUUUGAAGAAAGAGUAGGUUAUUACAUUAUGUCUAGUUGUUGAACAGGGCCCUUGCUUAAAAAAGAAAUAGUUAGAUUAUAUUAUGCCCAUGCUUUAUUAACAACACAAGUGAAGAUAAAUAGUAGUAAGUAAGCUUUCUACCACUAGUAGUACUAGUACUAUGGUUGCUUUCUACCACUAGUCGUUGAAUCUUCCUAUUCCACUUACAGUACCCCUGGGUGUCCAAUGGUUAGGACCAGAUGUAAGCUUGUAUCAACAAGUUUUGUAUAAGAUUAUGAGAUGUAGUUGAAACAAAGCUUUGCUCCUCUCAUAGUUUUGUUGUUUCCUAUUGUUUUGCUUCCUUCAAUUACCCAACAACUGGUAUCAGAGCACACUAACACUAGGAACCUUCACGGUAAGGGAUUAUUAGACCACUAUGAACACUUGUAAUUGGUUCAUUCUACUUCAGGCAUGGUUCACUCUAGUUAGUGGAAGAGUGUACAACAUAGGGAUUGGUAUCAGUCACACAUUUAGGAAAUAAAGUAAAAAGCCUCCUAUUCCAAUCAAGCAAGAAGUUGUCUGUACCGCCCUAGCAUGUUAAUAAAUACUCUUUAUCUAAAAAAUAAAUUCCUAGAAGAAAAUAAAAUCUAUUAGCAUUUAGUGACAGCAGCAUAGCUUUCCACUUUAUGAUGGUAUCUUAUAUCUUACAGUGCCUAGAUGCACUGUGAUCUUUGUGUUGUAUGAGUGAUCUUCUUUAGCUUGCUUCUUCAAUCCCUCUAUCCAGUCAUCAUCUGCAUAGCUUUGCUGCAGUUCUUGCACCCACUGUGGUAAUAGCUCAUAAAUGGCAGCUACUCCUGCAAAAAAUUGACUUAUUUGCCCGCAGCGGGCCUAAGCCUUUAUUGUCUUAUAAGAUCACUUACCAAAGGAGUCUUUUUACCUGCUUGCUUAUUAGAUAGAAAGACAACCAGAUGUUGUAGUGUGCGCUCUUGGUCUUCUCUACGUGUACAUGGACAAUUGAGGUGUUGUCUUUUGUUCCGUCAGUCUUGCUUGUAACACAGUGAGUGUAUAUGUUUCUCAUUUCCGUAGAAAGAACUACCAGCCAGGAGAUGAGACUCAAAGUGCACCCUUCUCAGACAUAGGAAAGCUCAAUCUCUUAAAGACAUAGCAUUGAAAGAGUGAGUAAGAAGCAUUGACUUAAUUUCUUUCACAACCAAGGCCAGAAGACAACACAACUGUCUAUCAUUUCUCUGGGAGAGGUCAAUGCAGCCUCGGAAAAAAGAAGAAAAGGCUAUUCCUUAGACACAGAGGUGGGAUUAAGGCGUCAUGCGGAACUCCAACAACAUAGACCAGAUGACUUAUUGAAAAUAGGUUGAGGAGCCUGAUCCUGGAGCUGAGCAAGCAUGGGCGCGAUCCACAUCGAGUGGAACUACUAUAACUAUAGCUAGUGGAAGUACCAUCCAUUCCGCAGUGGGCGGACGUUCUUUUCAAUCCUAUGAAGCUCAUCAGUAUUUCUGUCAACAAUUCUGUAGUAUGAUGGCUGUUGGUCUUAAUUUGAGUCAACUUAAAUGAAUAGAAAAAGGAACCAAAGACUGAGCAACUACUUCUAGAAUGAUGUUAUAGAAAAUACAAGACACAGUGAUCCUCAUCCGGCAUAAUAGCAGUACAUGAAUUCCACCCAGACGAAAUGGACUGACUCUCUAUGGAUCUCAACAUAAAAAAAAAGAAAGUGCUUAUCCAUCCUUGGAAGAACUAGCUCCCUCCCUGUCUUUGUCGGAACUUGAAUCGAGGUAGGCAAAAGAAUCCUUACUCGGAACGAGCCCAAGAUAAAGGGUCUAGUCCAAUUUGAGUCUUGGUUGUACAUCGGUACUACGCACGGUAGGCAUUUCUUCCAGUUAUCGGGACUUGCACUUGCUUUUUCCGGCCUUAGUGGUAUUUCAAUGAUUUUAUUGCCCUAGCCCCGUCCUUCCAUCAUAGCUUAGUUAGCUAGCUAGCUACUUCAUUUUGUGCUAAAGCCCCUCGAUACAUAAGUGCUCUCAUUCCUAGAACCCACCCGGGGCGAGUUGGUAACCGUAAACCAUUGAUCUACGAAUUCAAGUGAAUGAAAAUGUAGAUAGAUUUUUGCCUACUUCUGUAACAUAACUUCUCUACGGAUAAGCUUCAACUACUGAAUGAAGAGAUAGUGAGACCUACCUAGCAACGAGAAAUACUAGAACUUAAAUUCCUUGCCUUGACUCGCCUACUUCUCCAGUCUUUGAGCUUUCCUGGCUUUCGAUUCCUAUUCGUCUGAUGUGUUGAUGCUUGAGAAGAAGCUUUGGCACUGACACCUUACUUUCUUUCGCAUAGGGCUUUAACAGAUAAACUCUUUACAAUACUUUAUGCUGUAAAACAAGAGGAAGAAAAGAAAGGAUCCAUGAUGUGCAUGUGCCUUUUGGUCUUGUACCAACGCUCUUUAAUAACGAGGCUUUCCAUUCCAGCUUCUGGGAUGCUUCAUAGCGAGGUAAGAUCUAACUCCCUGGGUGGAUUUGUAUUCCUCUUCACUCAUUCUAGUCCUUAACUACUUGCUCGAUAAAAGCUAUCCGCUUUGACAGUUACUUCUUCAAGAAUCCGAACCUACUUUUCUAUGGCUAAAAAGGCCCCGAAAUGGCGUGCUGCCAUGCUGGAUGAGAUGGAGUCAAUGAAGAUAAAUAAGGUUUGGGACUUAGUUUAUUUACUGCCAGGGCUAUUAGGUAGCUUGGUAAGGGAUAGGCCGCAGGUUUGUGAAACAUAGGAGUAGAGGGGUAGGCAUUUGGAUCGGAACUGGUAGGAAGCAAUGGAAUAGGUCAGUAAAAUAGGACUACUAGUAAAGGCACGUUAUUCGCUAAGAAUAGUUUCGUGAUAGGUUUUUCUAAAUAGGAAAUUUGAUCGGCUUAACUGAGUUUAUUAUGGAUCGUUGCCUGUUGAGUGGAAGGAUUCCUAGUACCAUAGGUAGACUUAAACGCAACGUUUUGUUGAAGUUGAACUUUUUUAAAAAUUGCUUUUAAGGUCCAAUUCCUUUAUCUGUUGGUAAUCUAACGAAUCUCUCUGAAGUUCACAUGGGAGAAAAUUCACUACUACAUACCUAACGCAUCUACAAGUGUAGAAAGAACUCUUACUAUUCAUAACGGUCAAGUACCAGUCCUGCAACUCAUAAUGGUCAAGUACCAGUCCUGCAACCCGCUUCAACGUUCUAAGGACCACAAAUGAUAAGAUCUGAUACCUGUAAUUCCAAUUCUCGUAAUCUUUGAUGAAUCUCCAUAAUCUUUAGAGAUUCUUGUGGUGUACCCCUCCCGUGUUAUCAUUCACAGCUUCGUAGGGCAAGGCAAGUUCACCAUCUCUCUGAGAAAGAGGAGCGUAAGAAAAGGAGGUUCUUUUCCCAUCUCUUUUUGGCAAUGGGUUAAGGAAUUUAGGGCUGGAAGAGAUCUCAGAGUGGAUUGGGCAGCAUUAAUGGCAUGAGCACAACUGUGAUCUUGAUCUCCUCGCGUCGGCUUCUUGCUCUCUUUCACACAGUCUUCUCAAGUCACUAAUGGCACAACAACAGGAACGAGUACACAAUUGAAUAAAAAAGGGAAUUCACAAUAAGGUGGCAAGAUCCUUGUCCGUGGCAAAUCUAUGUUGUUGGCUAUUGUCUUUUCGUAGGAAAUAAUCAUCAACUAUGAGAAUUCCCUAAGUCUACAAGGGAAAUCAGGGCAACUGGGAGAGGAAAGAUCUUAAGGUUGAGGCUGAUUGGUGUCGAAAAAGGUUAUCCACUUUUGGCUACUAUUACUUCUCUAAUCUAAAUAAAGAACGUCGGGGCUUUCUGGUGAUUUCUAUAUAAUAAAACACUUUGAGAACUUGACAUAGAGUCGGUGAUCCUGCUUUCAUUGCAACACAAUUCGGAGGUCUGGAAUGUAAUUAAACCAUUACUUUAGCUUCGUAAAUAAGUUUACGUACGGUGAGCUGUCUGGGAAUCCAUACAAGAUCGGAGUACCCACAAGACUUGCUAAUUUACUGAGAGCGCUUCUCGUCUACAUGCGCAGAGGCAAGUUGGGGGAGGGUGAUCAAGAGGAAAAUAGUCUCUAGCCGAUCAUUCUCCUGCCAGAUUUACUUGGACCAUUUAAUUUAGUAGAACUAUGCCCUAGAGUGACUAUGCUGUGCGCUUUCGAGAAGAUUCAAACCUAUCUGUUUGAUUUUCCGGUCUUGGUACUGUUAGUUUUUCAGGGAAGAUCACUCUUGCUAUACCUCUCGCUCACGAAACAUUCCAUAGGAUGCGAGUAGCGGUACAUUAUAUUAUAGGCAGCUUCAGUGUUUUGAUAGAACUCAAGCGGUUGAUAUAGCUAAGGAAAACCAUAAGAGUGAGGGAUUGAAUUUCCAUGUAGGAGUAUUGGCUUUGGCAAGCAAGUCAAGGACAAAAGAAGAGGAUAUUCAAAGUUCCCUGAGUUUGAUGGUAGUAAGUUAGAUGUCACAAAUAGGAAUUCAUGGCCGCAUGUAUGUGCUAAAAGAAGAUCAAAAACCGAACCGGGGAAUCACUUACACUUAAUAAGAAAUUCUAACUAUCUAUUGUUCAAAACUCAAAGUACCACAGAAGAAAUAGAAUGAAAUGGUUAACUAAGAAUGAGAGAAUGAAAAAGCUGAGUAAUAAACAAGGAUUGGUUUGCUAUUUAUGAUGACGAAGAGCUGGUACAAGCCUCCUUCAGGAAAUGACCCUGCGAUGAAUGCAAUCUACAUUCUUCCAAGAUGGUAUAUGACAGAAAGAAAGUGGUGCGAUGAAUUAGUAUCAUUUACUAGUCAUUCUAAAACCGUUCCAAUUCAUUUCACAUUUCAUUACCUAGAGCCUGAGAGGGGUCACUGCUGAGAGGGUUCAUACUAUACCUAUUACUAUGGAUUGGAUGCGGAUGCUUCAUCUAGCGCAUACCAAAUAAAGCCAGCCGGGUAUCAUAGGAGACAGGGGAAAAAGCACUUUCAAAUGACUAAAAACUCCGAAUCAUCUGAUUGAUUCAAAAAUGUUAGUAGUAAUUGAAUUGCGUAGGGAACCCUUUCAAAGCUUCUGUUUCAUAGUCUACCGAGUAGCAGUUCCAGCAUUAUCCGAAUCAGCAUUGCGCCAGAAUCCAUUCAACCAAGAAAGGCGUAAGCGCUAGCUGAUCUGAAACGAAAUAAAAUAGUUCUUUCCAUUUUCCCAGCCGGAAAGCCCUGGGACGGCAUAUGUGACAUCAAGUUGACGCAUCCAUCCUCUGGACCAAAAAAGAGGAGUUUGCCGAACAGAACAAUAGUUCACUGCCAGAUAUCUUUUCUAAUCAAUCAGCAAGGAAUUGAUAGAGAGAGAGAGCCCUGCGAAAGGAGUAGCUUCCAGCAUCCUCCCUUGACAGUGACUUUCGGAGACUUGUCUAUAAGUAAGUCCAUUUCUUCUUGUGGGACAUCGAGAGACUUUCCUCUCUCUCCGAUUGCAACUAAUAUCAUCCUAUCUUUCCUCUCAAUUAGACCAAUCAGAAAGAUUCCCUAUCUUAUGUCAUUGGCUGGAGAAGAUUGAUAGAUAGGCUAUCAGUGCACUCUUCUGGGUGGGACCAGAACUUCCUACUCGUUCUCGCACCCCAGCGCUAUGCUCCAGGCGCAUCUUGGCACUCAAUUGGAAUGAGUCCGAAGAACACUUGCCCCCCUCACCGGCUUUGUCAGAUCUGUCUUUCGGCUGGACAGCUUCCGCUGCUACUUUGAUAUUUACUCCGACGCUUGUUCCUAGAUAUAAAAAGAAGUACUUUAGUCUACGAGUAUUAGGUGGCACUGCUGCUUUCUUUGCUAGCUCACCCGAAACUCUGUCUUCAGGAGGAAGAGACCAGCGUCCAUAUGGACGACGACGACUGGAACACCCUCUCGCCCAUCCAAGAGAUCCCAUCUCCUCACUUACCAGAGGAUGAUGAAGGGAGGCAAGAUGGGCAUGGGCCAACUCCACCCACGGCUUCUUCCAGCCACCUUCCGGUAGAGGUAAGAGAAGGAUCGCGAAGAAGGAAAACUGCAGAUCAGGCAGAGGAAAGACACAUACGCCCCCGCCUUAAUGAAACAAAACAACAGGAGUACAGUUAUGGUGAGAAAGAGUUCUCAAAUAUUGAUAAAAUAAAAAGAAAAGAAAGAAGAGAACGAAAGGAGAACAGAACUUUGUAUUUGGUAACUCUCCUGUAGUUAUGUUUAACCUUGAAUGCAAUUUAUAAAUUCGACAGCAAUAGUCCCUCGGACUCUAAAAGUAAUAACGAAAAUGGCUAAUCCAAUAGCAGAUUCCGCAGCUGCCACUGUUGGAACUAAUGAAGCAAAUGAUUGACCCAUCAUAUCAUCCAAAGAAACGGAAAAUACCAAAAAGUUCAAAUUGACAGCUAAUAACAUUGAUUCAAUUGGCAUUGACAUAAUAAGAAUAUUUCGUCUAUUAAGGAGGAUUCCCCGAAUACCUAAAAUAGAGAUGAUCAUAGAAAAAGUGAAAUAUUUUAUAGGAUCCGUUUCGGAAACAUGGAAUGUCAGAGAAAUUCAAAUUAUGUAAGGCUUAGAAAGAAGUCCUGCGUAGAGUCCAGGGAGAGCCUAUUUUUCUUUUUUCUCUAGUUACCCUCUCAAACAACGCGUUUGAUUUCCUUCCUUAUAUAAAAUUCCAUCUUUCUCUUGCCGAUCACAUCCAAUUUCGUCGGAAUACAUCCUGUCUUUUCACCAUAUGAUAUGAUAUGAUAUGAUAUGAUAUGAAUAGUAGUCCUAUGCAUUACCCAAAAUAGAUUCUAUGAACCCGAUUCUUAUCCGCUAUUGAAUGAUUUAUCUCCGAAUUAGUCCUUCCUCUCUAGUCCUCUAGAAAUCGGGCUUCCUCGCUUAGUAGCUCCUUUAGUUUCCUACUAUGUGGGGAUUUUGAAGAUGGGCUUGCAGCGGAUUCAACCGAUCGAUUCGCCGUGGCAUAUAGAGAUGGGCGAAGCAAAAAAGGUGUUUUCAUGUUCCAUUACAAAGCCAACCCCCGAGGAAGAAAGGUAAGUUAGAAGCAUACCAGGAUAUAUACUCAUAGUACCUUCCAUACUUAUCUCCGGUAGAACUAACAAAAUAGAAAACUAUGACUAGUAGACUCAUACGAAUGCUCUCCUUCUCCUAGCGACGCUUCGCGCCUACUUGCCUCAGUUGAUGGAUGGCCAAAGUAAAGUGCCCACUGCCUUUUUUCGGUUGCGGGAUGCUCUGGCACAUAGCUAUUCAGGUCAGGCUAGCCCUAAGACCAUGCUUUUCAUUUCCGUCCUGCCCACUACCAUUAGUUAGGCAUUUAAGCUCAGACCAGCCCAACCUCUUCAUGGUCACAUCCCCUUUUCCGACGCUUUUAUUGUUAUAGACCGCUCACUACCCCUUUCCUUCUCUAUGUAAGACUAAAUAAGGAAAUACAAAGAAUGGAAGAAAGGGCCAAAGCAAUUGUUUGUCUUGCAUUGCAGCAAUCAAACCAAAAUCAAGUAUUAAAGGCUGUUGAAACACUUCUUUUCUUGGGAUGGGAGCUAGGCUACCAAAGCUGUUUCAGUCCCUGCCCAUAAUUCAGCACAUAAGGCAGACCUUGAACCAAGGUUAUACAUAGAUCCUUUGAUCUCCACGGCACUGACUAUACCACCGGCACUCUAGAGGCACAGGGCGAAGAGUAAGCAUCUAACUGAAGUUUGACAACUUGGAAAGAUGGCCCAGCCAAUGUUAAUGAUUCUUUUAUCUGGGAUAACUUGCUGGGAAUUCACUAGAGCUCCUGAAGCCACUUGAUCCUUAUAGAGGUCUAUCAUUUGGUUUGGCUAAAAAGAUCCCUGCGUGCAUUGUCUUCAUUACCCAAAUAGAAAGCAUUCCUGUACCGGCAGUGAAGUUCGUGCUAAAUGACCGAACGAAGGUAUCCGCUUGCGAGUCUGAUCAAAGAGUUGCCGGGUUCAUUAUGCUCUUCUUCCUGAAAAUGGGAAGUAUUAUGAAGUUUAAGUCCUGUGCUGUAGUUAAUUCCCUUUGUCUUAAGUGAUCUAUUAGAGAGCUUCCCUGUGACCGCCCGAAGGGUAAGAAAGAGAUGCUCCGUGUAGCUAACCCCAAGUCUGGUAACCUUUGAAAAUAGGUUUCUGACGUCACUGCCUUUCAUGCCAAGCUUGACGCUCUUGCUCUUGCACAGGCGGUGGGUGGAUCAAUUUGUGUAAACGAUCGCUUUCUUUCUAUGUCUCCCAAUCGAUGCGGUACUGCCAAUCGUAGACUGGUGACCGGGGAAUGAGAGCUCCAUACACCAUGAUUCAUGGAGUCUUUCCUCUCGUUUUUAGGUUGUUUGUGUAUAUACCCAACUGUAGGUCACCUAUGUGACCAAUCCUCACCAUUGGUUUCACAGCACUUAGUAAGCAUACGUUUGAAGACCGAGUUGGUUGAUUUGGUCUGUCCAUUCGCUCUAGGAGGGGCUCGACUUCCUUUGAGCUAUGAGAAAUGGGAGCGCCUUCUUCUUUUUUUUCAGGGAUCUCCUUGGCUACAAAGAGAGCUAUGGAGCCUAGCUGAAAGCUUGACAAGGCCUAUUUAGUGUAUUCGGCCACCCAACCACUCGCAGAAAGAAAGGGGCAUUCAAAACCUGACAGGGAUUCCUUCUCCUAGGGUUGCUCUGAGGUAACCGCUCGUCUUGAUGCUGGCAGUCAAGAAGGCAAAGAGUUGACUUCUACUUUUGAAGUGUAAGGAGUUGACCUUCCUUCGCCUAUCUCGGAUUCUGCUACAGAUUGGAACAAUAGUUCACAUUCGCUUGGGAAUACCAAAUAGAAUGCAGUCGAGACAACCACAAGUAGAGGAACGACCGACACAGCUGGCAUGCCCCCGCAACCUUCGAUCCAUCUAUCUAAACAUCGUUCUACUACAGAACUGAGUUCAUCAUAGCAGCCAGCCUCGGUAAGGUUAACUAGCAACUUGACUCACUGCACUCGAAAAAGAUAGCAAAGCGACAAUCGGUCGGUAUGGGUGGAACCUAGUAUAGCUGCGCUUUCUUUUCUUCUUCUUGGUCUAGUCUAUCUACCCGUCUCUAAGUAAGCCCCUCACCUUCCCUUUUUGGAGUAGAGGUCAGAGGCUAGUGCGGGUAGCCCUGUCGGAAACUAGAAAGAAGAGGCUGAUGCACCUGCCCGGCGGUGGGUGGGUUCAGCUCGAUCAACUGGGAUAGGAGUUUUUUCUCUAUCUUGCUCCAUGGUGUUCAAGCAGUGCGUCCAGAAAGCUGUGAUUCAUGGGAGGGAGCAGCUUCAAUAGCUUUGGCUGUGAAAACUCUUGGUCUUGGAGCAUCAGUGUCAUCAGUUCACCCAAGAUCAGCACAGGACAAAUAACUACUAGGUUUGUGCCAGAAAAGCGUCUUGCGUGACGGGGAAAGAGUGGAAAAAGAAAUAGAUUCAUCAGCUAUGGAAUCUGACAGGUAUCGGUAUUGAACAGAGGGGGCUGUUCACAAAGCAUCCCAUGGUGCGCUCCGAGGAGGGGAAAAAAGAUACCACACACAAUUCUGAAACUCGAAAUCCGUUCCUAGAAAUCCGUGAAAUCAUUGUUCUGGGUCACCUUGGCUUUUGUGUUCCGUAGUGACUAGGGGAAGUUGCCCGGCUUGGUAUCUCUCCUACUUCUUGACCUUGCUUCUCACCAUUAGGGGAUAGAGUCUAGUAGUUCCUCCCAUGCCAAGGAAACUUCUAUCGAUUGGCGCCGUUGGUUGGAAAUUUGCAUAGCAUUCCCACGCCUCGUUCUUCAUCAGCUUGGUGCCGCUUCAAUUACGAGGUCUGUCAGCUUCCAUCUCCCGAUGUUGCUACUCGUAUCCAUUCCUCCCUGGAACCUGUUGCGAAGAGCUUGCAAAGGUGCCAAGGUUGCCUGAAUCGAAUCAAAUAAGAGCUCUGCCUUCUUGACUAGCUAUUCGUGCUGCUCCGCUAGCUGGUGACUUGCCUGUCCCCUCAUACAUACUUACUUAGGUCUAGACCCCUAUUCGCUGACCACCGGGCUCCAUCUUUCUAGUAGCAAGAAAAAGCCUAUACUACUUCUGAUUCCAUACGCAACGCAUACCUCUAGAGUGUAGCAGUGACUUCUUUCUCUCUCUAGUUUAGCAGUGACUUCUUUCUCUCUCGGUGAUCCCUUGGUUGGAUACUAUUUGCAUGUUGACUAGUGGGAAUUCCAGCUAUCCCUUUCCAACAACUAGACAAGUUCGGUGCAUCUAGACUUUCUUUUUGACCGAUAUACUGAACCUAUUCCUUUCAAGCCAACCGAUUCAAACUCGUAGAAUGACUUGACUUUCGAACAAGACUACGGCACUCCUUCCUCGAGAACUGCUUUCGCUUCCAGCUAUUUAAGGCAAGACAAGAGCGGAUCGGCUUUUCCUUGCUACAGAGGAUUGAAGCUCUUUCCACACUGAAGAUCGGAUCCAUUCCAGCUUCACUUCAACCUUGCCAGCUCUAUUGCUGGGAUUCCAGAAGUUAUAUUAAUGGAUUUGCCACCUGGCUCGCUUCAAUGGAUGAGUCGGGCUAGGGUGAUGACUCGGGCUCGGGAGUUUCCAGUGAAGGAAAAGUCUCGUAUUUCUUGAUCUAGUUCCUACCAUUUCUGAUCCGGAUCUAGCUAGAUGAGUAGUUAGUUUGGGAAACAAGGGUGCCGAGCUGAUGUGUUAUCAUAUCAUAUUUGAAAGGAAGUCAGCUAUUGAAUCAGCAACUAGUCUGGUGUUGAUACGCCGCGAUGCCUUUGCUUCACAAAAGACACAGUGAAAGAAGCCCACAUGCCCACUCUUCUUUCCCCCCCUCACCUCAACCGUAUAGUAGAUGGGUUUGGGGGGCCUCGGUUUCCUAUGCCUACACCAGUGAAUUUCUUUACCUCUUCGUACGCUCCCAAUCGCAGAUUUGAAUAAUCAAGUCGGUAUGGGGCUGCUGCCUUUUGUUACUCCGGAAAUAUUGGCUUCGCCUGUACAGAUUUUCUAGGGCCUGGGCGAUUUUUACCCGCUUCUCGGCGCUCGCCGUUUCAAGGUGAAGAUCCUCGUAAGUAGAGCGUAAUGUGCUCUCCCUAGGGUUCCUAUCUCGACAGGACCUUAGAACUGUUUUAAUUCUUUUCUUUAAGAACGCAAUGGAUGGUACUUCAGGUUGCGCCCCAUUUAUGGGCGGCUCUGACUCUUUGCCAUUGGCGUCUUGGCGGGACACUUUUUUCCGCUUAUCAUCAUCCUCAGAAUUAGGCGUAGCGGAAGCACUCGACGAGGCCUCUACGACAGCAUGGGCUCUUCCCCGUUUCUGGCCGGACGAUUCCAUAAAUACUUUGGUCAGAAGUAAGACCAAACCGAGAGUGAGUAGCAUAGACAUAGACAAGGAUAGAUUUGUGAAUGAGACAUAGUACUCACCAAUAUUCAGAUCCAGAAUUGGGUGAAUUCCAAAUUGAUAUUGAUCCAACGGGCUGUUGAGAUUAGGUAGGUUACCAAAAUACCCUCUGCCUUGUUGGGCAAUCAAGUAGUCCCAGUUGCCCUCGGCAGACAUUCGGGCGUGCAGAUCUUGUAUUCUCUGACCAAAACAACUACGUCCCUGAGGUGUGUGAAUCUCCUCGAGUAAGGAGCGCCAAAAAGCGUCGUAGUCCGCAAUCGCACUCUCACGCCGGAUACCAGAGAAUAGAUUCACACGGAAAGCGCUUAUUUCCUGUACUGACGGGAGAUUCAGGUUCCUCUCACGCAAGAUACCUUCCAUUUCUCUAAAUAAGGGGAGGGCUCGGAGUACCCUAUGCACAUCCUCCACCGAUUCCGAUUCUCGAUUUAGUGGGAUUCCAGGCAUCCCACGAGUUGCAAUCAUAAUGGGUUUACUACUUGAUAAUAGCAUUUUUCUAUCCGUUAAUAAAAAUAUCAUCGUACUUGACAAUUCCAUCUUUUUCAGCUCUGCUCCCAAAAGAGAAAGGAGACUAGACUGAUCCAUUCUUGACGUCGGCGUUGGUUUUUCCAACGAAACGAAAAAAAGAACAUUCGAACAAAUAGACUUGAUUCCAUGACAAAACAAAAUGCUAGUUCUAACGAACAGCGUUUGUCCCAUCGACUUUACUUUGGCCAAUGAUACUACUACUACUAUAUACUAUAUACUAUAUACUAUAUACUAUAUACUAUAUACUAUAUACUAUACGCGUUUUCUGAGGAGCAACAUGAGACUUGAUUUUCCUAUAGUCUGGCUACUAUACUAUACUAUAGAACCCUGGGCCAUGUUUCCCGAGAGAGACUGCCUUCUCUCAGGCCAGCAGUCUUAUACUUAUAGUCGACUGCUCUAUGACGAUCUGACCUCUUUCCUGGGCUCUGCUCGCUCGUCUACGCUCCGACCAAUUCAGUCAAAAUCGAAAAAACGAUGUUUCGUCUAAGAAUAAGAAAUAGUAGUAGUAGUAAAAAAGUGCACUUUUUCCAUAUAUUUCGAGGGAUCCCUAUCUUUAUCUCUAUCCACAGAGAUACCUAUCUAUUCUAUUCUAUAUAGAGAGAGAUUUUUCUAAAAAUUGAUCUAGACUAUCCUCUCCUCUAUCCGGAUAGAUAUGUCCCUAUGAGCGACUAGGCCGAUCUUUUUUUAUAUGUUUUGGCCACGUCCGUUUCCGCUCCGAAGAGGAAGGUUUGGAUCUUUCAAUCUUAUGUCGUGAGGGAUGUGACCUAUGUUAGGUCCAUAAGAUACCACAGCUUUUAGUGUUCUAUGAUUCACCUCCGAAUAAUGAGUAGGUAGUUCGAUCCUUUUGAUUCUUAUCUUCCUAGUAAUAGUAAACGGGGAUCCGGAGCAAUAGGUCGAAUUUCUAUAUAAUUUGUUUGUGUAAACAAAAGGGCUUAUUGCUCUUUUUCGGUUUUCGUUUUCCUCGAUAACUUUGAGGAUCUCCUCUACCCCUUCCUCUUCCUCCUUCCUUCUUUUCCAUAAGAAGAAGUAUUUGAAAUGAAACAAAUUCCUCUUCAUUCUGUUGUGCUCAGCGAAGGAACUGCCUAAGCAUACUUUUGCGGAUCCAAACUUCUUUGUUCUUUCUAAGUCUUCUUCUUGCAUAUAAGAACGCAACUCUUGCAAAAACCCGGAUUUUAGUAGUAAGCGGCAUCCCCUCUGAGUUGUGAGUAAGCGGAACCAUUCUGUUUUUGUUCUUCUCCAGAUUCUGACCGGUAGGAAUUUGCCUAUGAUUUUUCCAACUGAUAUGUCGAUAUAGAAAGAUCUCCUUAUUUCUUCACCGCGGGUUCUCGCGUCAUUUUCUUUAAAAGAUAUUAGAUCACCAUGGGAAACUUUAAAAUGAGUAAUGGUUACCAGUCCAUUAUUCAAACAAACCCUUCGAUGACUUAUCGGCUGCCUUGCUUGAGGAAGAGUGUCACUAAAACGGAGACGAACCGGAAUCACGUCCGAUCUUGUUUCUUGAUUGAGUAAAAAAGGGAUAUAUGAAGUUCGUUCUCUUCCUCUGUGCAUCUCCCUUAUGGGUAAAUCCCCAUAAUAAAGGGACAACUUUCGUGUAGUUUGUGAUUUGAUGUUACUGUUUAGAUUUUCUCUCUGAGAAAGAUUUCUUUUAAUGGAUCUCCUCUUGUUCCUCAAUCUUCGGAGAAUGCGGCGUUGGAUUAGAGAAAGUUCUCUGUUCCGAACAUUUCCUGGAAGUAGACGGCACGUUUUAAAUCUUAAUGCAGGCAUAUUUCGUUGAAUCAGUCUUUUUCGCCACAUCGCGUAUAAAGGGAAUCGAACCCAACUCUUCCACGAACCCCCCACGAAUGGUCCUCCCUUAACUCAAUGAACUUUGAGAAUUCCUUUGCCUAGUUUUUUUCUUUUCAGUUCUCAUAAGUCCUUGAUAUACUAGCCUCAAUACUUGACCGACUGCGUCACAGUGCUCAGGUAAAGUGGCAGUGGUUGAAAGCGAGCGGAAACGUCAGUGUUUUCUGUGCGUUACGAUAGUAGUGGUGAAAGAAAAUCCAAUUCAAAUAUCUCAACGUAAAAGGAAAAUCGUUUCACUUUGAUUUGAAAAGAAAGACUCCAGCUAGCUAUAUGAGAUCGAACUUCUUCCAUCACUCUAUCUACGAUAUUCAUUGCACCAUGAUUGAAGGCCUACGCAUCUUCUUUCGGGUAUUUCUUAUUGGUUGACAUAAAUUAUAGACACCGUGGGGACGUCAUCUAGACAAAAAGGGAAACGAUUUAUGAUAGAUUACCAUCAAUCCCAUCUUAUGGUGUUACACCCAUGGACUAAAGAUACUAGUCUUCCUACAUUGCAUCUAUUGGGUUGAGAGAGGAUCUCCUUUCUCCUAAAAAUCCUCCUUGUCCAUGAUACUUACUUGCAAUCAAUUCAUAGUCUUCCCAAGUAGCUUCUAGGUUGGACCAAUGAAUGAGCACUUGUGGUACCGCUGCAUUUCUGGAACGGCUACUGCCUACAUAACUUGUCUUCCUCUUUUCAAGGAAGUCAGUAUCAGACCAUAUGUAGUUCUCGUCUCGAGGGUCUUACUUCCUUUUUCCCGGACCAAAGAAAAGAGAUAAUUUAUUAGCCUUCUCACAUGGACAUAAAGACACGAGUUAAUCAUUCGCAUGCAGCCUCACAUAAACAACAAAUAACAAGCGCAUGCAGCCUCACAUAAACAACAAAUAACAACGCGCACAAGCUUAACACUCAUAUAUUUUUUUAGAUAAUAUGGACAUAAGAUUCCCCUCUUACCCCUAACUAACGAUUAUGCUGCUCUCGUCCUGUUUUUCCAUACUUCCCGCAGCGCAAGAAAAAGAAAAACUAGAAAUAGGAACAAACCGAGACCGAGAGCGAGAGCGAGAGGGUGAAUGCCAAAUUGAUCCAAAGGACUCUCCGCUAAAUGCAUCGCAGCGAAAUUUGCCGCUAAAUUCUCAUUCGCUAGCUCAGCUAUUCCGUACUUGAAGGCUUCACUUUCAGUGCCAUUUGCUACUAAAUCCCGGAGCUGUGAUCGAAGAAAUCCUAUAUUAGCACUCCCCCCAUGUAUUCGUUCGGCUGCAACUAGAAUCUCUUGGUGAUCCCUGCCGGGCAUUAAUUUGGCCAUUUCCUCGCGUAUAGCCCCUUGAUAUUCUACGACCCUUUCAUCGGUCGGGUUUGGGGAUGGCCGAUUUACGGACGAAGAGGAAGAGGGAGUACCACUGUCCGUUAAGAAUACUCCUUUCACGGAAGAAGGGGAUGGCUGGUUCACAGAAAAGGAUGCUAAUGGCGAGGGUUGAUUGACAGAGGAAGAGGAUGCUAAUGGCGAUGGUUGAUUGACAGAGGAAGAGGACGAGGGAGUCCCAAAAGAAAUGAAUCCUUCUGAAGAAGAAGGACUAUGAGAGUGUAGACUAGAAUUGCAAGACAAAAAAGACGAUGAACUGGUGCUACUGGCACUCCCUCCCGAAAGAUCACCCAUUUUAUUUCUGAUAUCCAACAUGAGAAGAUCUUCUGGUCUAGAAUUAGUCGUUUUUUGCAUUUCUUUAUUUGGUUGGGAAAGGAAAGAAGAGAUCGCGAACCGCGCCCACACAAUCUCUUACACAGCAACACUGCUUGUCAAGUUAAGUAGCGACCUGCAUACAGGGGACCCCCUCGUGCCCCACCCCAAGGGCUGACUCUUCUUUCAUUACAUACGAUUUUUGUUACUGAUCAAAUUUGAUUAAUGGAUGUCUCAGAAGACAGGCUUUCUCCGACAAGAAAGAUGAGAGGAACCGUGGAGUUGGACCAAUACGUUGGAAUAGAUAGCUCUGUUGCUUACUUUCAAGCUUUAGAUAGCUCUGUUUGUUACAAGCAAAGAAGAAAAGAUAUAGCUUUAGUUUUACACCAGCUACGCCCUUCCCCAUUGCAACGUUGUUGGUUUUCGUUUUAUUUUUGGAUCCAUGCAAGCCAUUUCCUGUUGAUAGGAAGGCAGAGUAACAAGUUGAUUUCGAGUACCAUACCUCCUUUCCGGUUCACAGACAGAUCGAGGGUCACACCUUACACUUGCGUCACCUGCCUGCCCUUCUCGGUUUAAUUGAAUAAGACCUAGGACCAAGGAUGCAUUUUUUGAAUGGAGUCUUCUCUCUAAAUAUUUCCGGGAAAUAUACCGGGUCAAACCUUCCGAGCUAACUGGACCCUACCCUUUUUCAGAGAAUCAUUCCUCCCCCACUCUCUGCCCUUCUAAAAAGAAAAUGCAUUCCUUCGCACUGUGCUUGACUUUCGCUCUUAUAGCACUCUUUUCCUUAAUGCCUGUUGGCUCUAGCACUGUGCUCUUUGCUUCUAGUCUCGCUAGCUAUGAAACUUCCACUGAAAAAGAAGAAUUUCCACGCCCACCAACUGCAGAAGCUCAAUCAAUGGCCACUACCGACAAGGGGACAAUAGAGCUGCAUUGAACACGCAUCCAGCACCUCGAGUCACUACCAACCAGAAAACGAGCGAUAUAGGAGGUAGACUGCCCGCUCCACAACGAGUGAAGAGUGCCGUAGAGCUGGAGACAUAUCCUUCCUGAAAGCCAAUCGAUCUGAUCUGUUGGAUAGUGCCUGAAAAGCUAUUCCUCGCUAGCGCUGUCUUGUCUGUUCCUGUUCUGGAUUGGGGCACGGGCUUUCUGUAGAUUGGGAAUUGCUGCUUCAACAAUAGGAGCACAGGGCUAACGCCUCUUUGUUUAGGUUUUAGAAAAGUAGAAAGGAGAAAAUUGGACUUUCAGAACUAAUAACUAUAUUCUUUGUCUGAUUUCUUUAAUUGUCCGAGUUCUCUCAUUAAUGAGUUGGCUCGGCCAUCAUCAAGUAGUGAAUCCCCUCUCGGGGAAGUCCCAUUUCUUUCUGAACGGGAGUCGGAGUUUCUACAAAUUGUAUUGGAAGUGGUAUUUGUAGAUUGUGUCAGUGUUUAGCCAAGAUGUCUCCCUUUGCGAAACGAAUCCAAGGGCGGAGUGUUAUCGCUUGCGUCGGUCCCACCCACCCUUGGGAGGGCCCGCCGGCCUUAUCCUUAUCCUUAUAGUGAUCUCGCUUUGAAAAGAGGACUUUCAUAACAAGUGGAGUCGUCUUGUGGGUAUCAACAAGAAAAACCCUUCUCACAUAAGAGCUCAAGAAUAGAUGCCUUGCCCCGAGAACAGGGAUUUGAACCAUUGGACUUUUCUAGCUGUCCUGCCACUGGGUUCCAAGUUCGUACGUAGUCUAGUCCAUUUCUAGGCAGGAAUUGCAUUUUAUGACAUUGGCCCGUUCCUCAAUACAAUAGUUCCGUAGUGCCAGGUGGGAAGCAUCCUUCUUUGAAUAUGAUGAUGGGCUCCCCGGUUUCAAAGAUAAUAAACCUAUAGUUAUAUUACUUGCGUGUUGGUAAGGCGGCUAAGGUUCUUACGUAUCAUAGUUUAGUUCCUUGUUUGUCUAAGAGGAGUUCAUAUAGCCAGUCCAGUAUGGAACCAGAUCCGGAUAUCCGUACUUUUGGUGGUGCGGUUCAGAGCAGAGGAGAGGUUCGGUAGGUUGACAAGAAAGUGCGCCGCUAGCUUUUGUGUGUUCACACAAGGUCAGAAGGAACCUCCGAGUGGAUCCAACAAAGAAUCGAUUCUAUGCCUUCUCUUUCAGUGUUCGUAGGGCUGGAAAUUAUACACGCUGGUAACUAGUAAGCUGGAAUAGUCAGGUUAGGAAUGGAAAAGAAGGAAGGAGGAAGCGAGUUCUCUACUCUAGUGAAGCUAGUGCUAGUUCUGUACUCUAGUUCAGUCCCCAAGGCGCGAGUGAAGCCCUUCUCCAUACCUUCGAUAAACUACUUGCCUCAUGGAAGUUCAAGUUCUCUUUCAUAGAAUGACUGGCUUUACAUAUCUCCUUAUUCGUAGGAAAUGAAUGGGCAGCAACUUAGAACCGAAACCGGAAGGCAAGAAACCGAGCUAUUCAAGAGAGAUCCGGCACAUCACAAGAUAACGAAACAACUUGGAAAGCUAGUUCGGAAAGUUCACCUAUGAAAGCCCUACUCAAUAUUGCCUCGGGCCAGGUCAAUAGAUGAACACAUAGAAGUGAGUAGAAAAAGCAAACUUUAGUGAAUGAAUGCGAUCUAGACCCUGCAACUAGACCGAGCAAGAGGAAAGGAAUGCGAUCCUCAAAUAAAAGAAUCUAUCUAGCACUAGCAGCAAGGAAUGAGAUAGAACCUCGAGCAAGAGAUAUGAGCGUUGAUCUGAUCUUAUGAGAAUACUGCGGCACUCUUUUGGUUCUUCUGAUUUCUAGUCUAGUUUCCUUUCCUUAAGGGACAGGGCGGCGUAGAGCUGAGGAGAGAGACAGAUGGAUGGCAGAUGUGAAUGAAUUGCAAUAUGCAUGCUGCCUGCCACCGAGGAGUAGUAGUAUUGAUGCCAGUGUGGAAGAGUUCGCUGGAUCAUUCUACCGGAGUCAAUCAGUUUGAUUCGUAACAAAUGAGAUUAGUUCACGUAUAACGAGCAUAAAGACGAAUCUAACCGCUAGUUACUCUACUCAUUGGCUCCAUCCCGUUUUUGAGGCCUUCUCUUUUUCGUGAUCUGGGCCAUAAAUCAAUGGUGCCGCAGUCUAUGAAGCAAGAAUGGCCAAUGACAUACGCUAUGGAAGCCGUAAACCUGGAUUGGAAAGCGGAGAUUCUUCUGAGAGAACUGGAACUCUGACCCAAGGCAAGACUUGACUUCUCUGAUCAUCCCUUCCCUGGCGCCUGAGCCCGGCAAUAACAAUAGCAGACAGGUCAGUUGUUCAAGUCCGUCUGGUUGAUAGGUCAGCUCAGUAUAGAAUCUUGUAUGGUAGUCCAGUAAUGACCAGGCAAGUGAACCGGCUUGAGAGACGUAAGAACCGGGAGAACACAGGACGCACGGAAAACUUUCCUGCUCGAGUAACAGAGUCUUGGCUGGCGGAGUUGGAGAAGGGGCACCGACCAGAAGCUAGACAGAAGAAUGACCUUAUUUUCCUUUACUCUCCAUUCCAUUUGUCCUUCAACCGGAUUAAUGGUCAACGACAUUUACAGCCUUUCCUUCACACAAGGUUUUUAAUCCAUCUCCCCUGCUUAGGACAGUAAGGGGAAGUAGCGAUAUUCCGAUUCCUUCGUGGGGAAUCAACGAAGGGUCCAGCUGCUUUAGUACUUAAGUUAACGCCCCAGCCCUUAUCCAGAAGGUAGAUGCGGUAAGCCAACUCCUAUCCUUCUUGCGGAAAGGGCAUUCAAUGCCAUCUGAAUUCCCUUCCUUGCUUCGAGGAGCAGGUCGAAUAGUCAAAGAAGGGGAUGGCUAAUUCCAGGAAUAGAGUAGCAUUCUCAGGCACUACCCUCAGUUGCAGCCUCAGUCCAUAUAAAACAGUCAAUCUACCAGCAGCAGAGGCUGCAGAUACAUGUCCACCACCUGUUUAUCUACUACCAUAAGCGGGAGCAGUUGCAGGUAAAGAGUGUUGUGAGGGCUUUCAUUUGCGCGUUAAGGGCAGUUUCUGUUAUAGCACUAGAAAUCAGUGCCGUUAGUCCCUUCUCGAACAGCAGUUUUAGCAAUUGAAUCAGCUGUUUCCUAAUAGACUAGGCUGUUAGCAGGAUUUGCAGGCGAGACAGAUGAGGAGGCAUAGAAGGAGCAAUUCCAUUAUGUGCUAAAGGCUGCGGAAUAAGAGCUCUUAGUCCUUUCGGCGUAGAGAACGAAUCCUCUGUUGCAAGAAGAAGGGCAAUGCCGAUUGUAAGGUUAAGUAUUACGUACGUCAAAACCAGUCAGUGACUCAUUUAAGUGUUGUGCGAAAAGGUAGCCUUUUGGCAACUGCAACCAUCCAUAGCGAGCGACGGAAGAUCAAUAGGCUGUUUUUUCAUAAGUUGAUAAAAGGAGAGAGCAGCUUAAUGAGAGAAGUAGCAGUGAGGGCGCUAAGCAGGUGUCAAGUUAAUUGGUCUGAGAGCCAAGCCAGCUUUCAAUUUCAAGUAGUAAAAAGCAGGCAUUAAAGUAGGUGAGUAAGUCAAGUUCUCUAUAUGCUUGAAGCUGAUACGCGCCUUUGUUGCCUUCUGUCUUCUUCCCUUUGGUAGUUCUGUUUCCAGCUGAGGAAUUGGAAUAAAUAAGUAAGGCUAACUAAAAGAGAGAAGAGGGUCUACAGUCAUUCUAUCUCAACACUGAAGAAUAGAUUUGCCACCUGGCUCGCUUCAAUGGAUGAGUCGGGCUAGGGUGAUGACUCGGGCUCGGGAGUUUCCAGUGAAGGAAAAGUCUCGUAUUUCUUGAUCUAGUUCCUACCAUUUCUGAUCCGGAUCUAGCUAGAUGAGUAGUUAGUUUGGGAAACAAGGGUGCCGAGCUGAUGUGUUAUCAUAUCAUAUUUGAAAGGAAGUCAGCUAUUGAAUCAGCAACUAGUCUGGUGUUGAUACGCCGCGAUGCCUUUGCUUCACAAAAGACACAGUGAAAGAAGCCCACAUGCCCACUCUUCUUUCCCCCCUCACCUCAACCGUAUAGUAGAUGGGUUUGGGGGCCUCGGUUUCCUAUGCCUACACCAGUGAAUUUCUUUACCUCUUCGUACGCCUCCAAUCGCAGAUUUGAAUAAUCAAGUCGGUAUGGGGCUGCUGCCUUUUGUUACUCCGGAAAUAUUGGCUUCGCCUGUACAGAUUUUCUAGGGCCUGGGCGAUUUUUACCCGCUUCUCGGCGCUCGCCGUUUCAAGGUGAAGAUCCUCGUAAGUAGACGUAAUGUGCUCUCCCUAGGGUUCCUAUCUCGACAGGACCUUAGAACUGUUUUAAUUCUUUUCUUUAAGAACGCAAUGGAUGGUACUUCAGGUUGCGCCCCAUUUAUGGGCGGCUCUGACUCUUUGCCAUUGCGUCUUGGCGGGACACUUUUUUCCGCUUAUCAUCAUCCUCAGAAUUAGGCGUAGCGGAAGCACUCGACGAGGCCUCUACGACAGCAUGGGCUCUUCCCCGUUUCUGGCCGGACGAUUCCAUAAAUACUUUGGUCAGAAGUAAGACCAAACCGAGAGUGAGUAGCAUAGACAUAGACAAGGAUAGAUUUGUGAAUGAGACAUAGUACUCACCAAUAUUCAGAUCCAGAAUUGGGUGAAUUCCAAAUUGAUAUUGAUCCAACGGGCUGUUGAGAUUAGGUAGGUUACCAAAAUACCCUCUGCCUUGUUGGGCAAUCAAGUAGUCCCAGUUGCCCUCGGCAGACAUUCGGGCGUGCAGAUCUUGUAUUCUCUGACCAAAACAACUACGUCCCUGAGGUGUGUGAAUCUCCUCGAGUAAGGACGCCAAAAAGCGUCGUAGUCCGCAAUCGCACUCUCACGCGCGAUACCAGAGAAUAGAUUCACACGGAAAGCGCUUAUUUCCUGUACUGACGGGAGAUUCAGGUUCCUCUCACGCAAGAUACCUUCCAUUUCUCUAAAUAAGGGGAGGGCUCGGAGUACCCUAUGCACAUCCUCCACCGAUUCCGAUUCUCGAUUUAGUGGGAUUCCAGGCAUCCCACGAGUUGCAAUCAUAAUGGGUUUACUACUUGAUAAUAGCAUUUUUCUAUCCGUUAAUAAAAAUAUCAUCGUACUUGACAAUUCCAUCUUUUUCAGCUCUGCUCCCCAAAGAGAAAGGAGACUAGACUGAUCCAUUCUUGACGUCGGCGUUGGUUUUCCAACGAAACGAAAAAAAGAACAUUCGAACAAAUAGACUUGAUUCCAUUACAAAACAAAAAUGCUAGUUCUAACGAACAGCGUUUGUCCCAUCGACUUUACUUUGGCCAAUGAUACUACUACUACUAUAUACUAUAUACUAUAUACUAUAUACUAUAUACUAUAUACUAUAUACUAUACGCGUUUUCUGAGGAGCAACAUGAGACUUGAUUUUCCUAUAGUCUGGCUACUAUACUAUACUAUAGAACCCUGGGCCAUGUUUCCCGAGAGAGACUGCCUUCUCUCAGGCCAGCAGUCUUAUACUUAUAGUCGACUGCUCUAUGACGAUCUGACCUCUUUCCUGGGCUCUGCUCGCUCGUCUACGCUCCGACCAAUUCAGUCAAAAUCGAAAAAACGAUGUUUCGUCUAAGAAUAAGAAAUAGUAGUAGUAGUAAAAAAGUGCACUUUUUCCAUAUAUUUCGAGGGAUCCCUAUCUUUAUCUCUAUCCACAGAGAUACCUAUCUAUUCUAUUCUAUAUAGAGAGAGAUUUUUCUAAAAAUUGAUCUAGACUAUCCUCUCCUCUAUCCGGAUAGAUAUGUCCCUAUGAGCGACUAGGCCGAUCUUUUUUUAUAUGUUUUGGCCACGUCCGUUUCCGCUCCGAAGAGAAGGUUUGGAUCUUUCAAUCUUAUGUCGUGAGGGAUGUGACCUAUGUUAGGUCCAUAAGAUACCACAGUCUUUAGUGUUCUAUGAUUCACCUCCGAAUAAUGAGUAGGUAGUUCGAUCCUUUUGAUUCUUAUCUUCCUAGUAAUAGUAAACGGGGAUCCGGAGCAAUAGGUCGAAUUUCUAUAUAAUUUGUUGUGUAAACAAAAGGGCUUAUUGCUCUUUUUCGGUUUUCGUUUUCCUCGAUAACUUUGAGAUCUCCUCUACCCCUUCCUCUUCCUCCUUCCUUCUUUUCCAUAAGAAGAAGUAUUUGAAAUGAAACAAAUUCCUCUUCAUUCUGUUGUGCUCAGCGAAGGAACUGCCUAAGCAUACUUUUGCGGAUCCAAACUUCUUUGUUCUUUCUAAGUCUUCUUCUUGCAUAUAAGAACGCAACUCUUGCAAAAACCCGGAUUUUAGUAGUAAGCGGCAUCCCCUCUGAGUUGUGAGUAAGCGAACCAUUCUGUUUUUGUUCUUCUCCAGAUUCUGACCGGUAGGAAUUUGCCUAUGAUUUUUCCAACUGAUAUGUCGAUAUAGAAAGAUCUCCUUAUUUCUUCACCGCGGGUUCUCGCGUCAUUUUCUUAAAAAAUAUUAGAUCACCAUGGGAAACUUUAAAAUGAGUAAUGGUUACCAGUCCAUUAUUCAAACAAACCCUUCGAUGACUUAUCGGCUGCCUUGCUUGAGGAAGAGUGUCACUAAAACGGAGACGAACCGGAAUCACGUCCGAUCUUGUUCUUUGAUUGAGUAAAAAAGGGAUAUAUGAAGUUCUUCUCUUCCUCUGUGCAUCUUCCUUAUGGGUAAAUCCCCAUAAUAAAGGACAACUUUCGUGUAGUUUGUGAUUUGAUGUUACUGUUUAGAUUUUCUCUCUGAGAAAGAUUUCUUUUAAUGGAUCUCCUCUUGUUCCUCAAUCUUCGGAGAAUGCGGCGUUGGAUUAGAGAAAGUUCUCUGUUUCCGAACAUUUCCUGGAAGUAGACGGCACGUUUUAAAUCUUAAUGCAGGCAUAUUUCGUUGAAUCAGUCUUUUUCGCCACAUCGCGUAUAAAGGGAAUCAACCCAACUCUUCCACGAACCCCCCACGAAUGGUCCUCCCUUAACUCAAUGAACUUUGAGAAUUCCUUUGCCUAGUUUUUUUCUUUUCAGUUCUCAUAAGUCCUUGAUAUACUAGCCUCAAUACUUGACCGACUGCGUCACAGUGCUCAGGUAAAGUGGCAGUGGUUGAAAGCGAGCGGAAACGUCAGUGUUUUCUGUGCGUUACGAUAGUAGUGGUGAAAGAAAAUCCAAUUCAAAUAUCUCAACGUAAAAGGAAAAUCGUUUCACUUUGAUUUGAAAAAAGACUCCAGCUAGCUAUAUGAGAUCGAACUUCUCAUCACUCUAUCUACGAUAUUCAUUGCACCAUGAUUGAAGGCCUACGCAUCUUCUUUCGGGUAUUUCUUAUUGGUUGACAUAAAUUAUAGACACCGUGGGGACGUCAUCUAGACAAAAAGGGAAACGAUUUAUGAUAGAUUACCAUCAAUCCCAUCUUAUGGUGUUACACCCAUGGACUAAAGAUACUAGUCUUCCUACAUUGCAUCUAUUGGGUUGAGAGAGGAUCUCCUUUCUCCUAAAAAUCCUCCUUGUCCAUGAUACUUACUUGCAAUCAAUUCAUAGUCUUCCCAAGUAGCUUCUAGGUUGACCAAUGAAUGAGCACUUGUGGUACCGCUGCAUUUCUGGAACGGCUACUGCCUACAUAACUUGUCUUCCUCUUUUCAAGGAAGUCAGUAUCAGACCAUAUGUAGUUCUCGUCUCGAGGGUCUUACUUCCUUUUUCCCGGACCAAAGAAAAGAGAUAAUUUAUUAGCCUUCUCACAUGGACAUAAAGACACGAGUUAAUCAUUCGCAUGCAGCCUCACAUAAACAACAAAUAACAAGCGCAUGCAGCCUCACAUAAACAACAAAUAACAACGCGCACAAGCCUAAACAUCAUAUAUUUUUUUAGAUAAUAUGGACAUAAGAUUCCCCUCUUACCCCUAACUAACGAUUAUGCUGCUCUCGUCCUGUUUUUCCAUACUUCCCGCAGCGCAAGAAAAAAGAAAAACUAGAAAUAGGAACAAACCGAGACCGAGAGCGAGAGCGAGAGGGUGAAUGCCAAAUGAUCCAAAGGACUCUCCGCUAAAUGCAUCGCAGCGAAAUUUGCCGCUAAAUUCUCAUUCGCUAGCUCAGCUAUUCCGUACUUGAAGGCUUCACUUUCAGUGCCAUUUGCUACUAAAUCCCGAGCUGUGAUCGAAGAAAUCCUAUAUUAGCACUCCCCCCAUGUAUUCGUUCGGCUGCAACUAGAAUCUCUUUGUGAUCCCUGCCGGGCAUUAAUUUGGCCAUUUCCUCGCGUAUAGCCCCUUGAUAUUCUACGACCCUUUCAUCGGUCGGGUUUGGGGAUGGCCGAUUUACGGACGAAGAGGAAGAGGGAGUACCACUGUCCGUUAAGAAUACUCCUUUCACGGAAGAAGGGGAUGGCUGGUUCACAGAAAAGGAUGCUAAUGGCGAGGGUUGAUUGACAGAGGAAGAGGAUGCUAAUGGCGAUGGUUGAUUGACAGAGGAAGAGGACGAGGGAGUCCCAAAAGAAAUGAAUCCUUCUGAAGAAGAAGGACUAUGAGAGUGUAGACUAGAAUUGCAAGACAAAAAAGACGAUGAACUGGUGCUACUGGCACUCCCUCCCGAAAGAUCACCCAUUUUAUUUCUGAUAUCCAACAUGAGAAGAUCUUCUGUCUAGAAUUAGUCGUUUUUUGCAUUUCUUUAUUUGGUUGGGAAAGGAAAGAAGAGAUCGCGAACCGCGCCCACACAAUCUCUUACACAGCAACACUGCUUGUCAAGUUAAGUAGCGACCUGCAUACAGGACCCCCUCGUGCCCCACCCCAAGGGCUGACUCUUCUUUCAUUACAUACGAUUUGUUUACUGAUCAAAUUUGAUUAAUGGAUGUCUCAGAAGACAGGCUUUCUCCGACAAGAAAGAUGAGAGGAACCGUGGAGUUGGACCAAUACGUUGGAAUAGAUAGCUCUGUUGCUUACUUUCAAGCUUUAGAUAGCUCUGUUUGUUACAAGCAAAGAAGAAAAAUAUAGCUUUAGUUUUACACCAGCUACGCCCUUCCCCAUUGCAACGUUGUUGGUUUUCGUUUUAUUUUUGGAUCCAUGCAAGCCAUUUCCUGUUGAUAGGAAGGCAGAGUAACAAGUUGAUUUCGAGUACCAUACCUCCUUUCGCGUUCACAGACAGAUCGGGGUCACACCUUACACUUGCGUCACCUGCCUGCCCUUCUCGGUUUAAUUGAAUAAGACCUAGGACCAAGGAUGCAUUUUUUGAAUGGAGUCUUCUCUCUAAAUAUUUCCGGGAAAUAUACCGGGUCAAACCUUCCGAGCUAACUGGACCCUACCCCUUUCAGAGAAUCAUUCCUCCCCCACUCUCUGCCCUUCUAAAAAGAAAAUGCAUUCCUUCGCACUGUGCUUGACUUUCGCUCUUAUAGCACUCUUUUCCUUAAUGCCUGUUGGCUCUAGCACUGUGCUCUUUGCUUCUAGUCUCGCUAGCUAUGAAACUUCCACUGAAAAAGAAGAAUUUCCACGCCCACCAACUGCAGAAGCUCAAUCAAUGGCCACUACCGACAAGGGGACAAUAGAGCUGCAUUGAACACGCAUCCAGCACCUCGAGUCACUACCAACCAGAAAACGAGCGAUAUAGGAGGUAGACUGCCCGCUCCACAACGAGUGAAGAGUGCCGUAGAGCUGAGACAUAUCCUUCCUGAAAGCCAAUCGAUCUGAUCUGUUGGAUAGUGCCUGAAAAGCUAUUCCUCGCUAGCGCUGUCUUGUCUGUUCCUGUUCUGGAUUGGGGCACGGGCUUUCUGUAGAUUGGGAAUUGCUGCUUCAACAAUAGGAGCACAGGGCUAACGCCUCUUUGUUUAGGUUUUAGAAAAGUAGAAAGGAGAAAAUUGGACUUUCAGAACUAAUAACUAUAUUCUUUGUCUGAUUUCUUUAAUUGUCCGAGUUCUCUCAUUAAUGAGUUGGCUCGGCCAUCAUCAAGUAGUGAAUCCCCUCUCGGGGAAGUCCCAUUUCUUUCUGAACGGGAGUCGGAGUUUCUACAAAUUGUAUUGGAAGUGGUAUUUGUAGAUUGUGUCAGUGUUUAGCCAAGAUGUCUCCCUUUGCGAAACGAAUCCAAGGGCGGAGUGUUAUCGCUUGCGUCGGUCCCACCCACCCUUGGGAGGGCCCGCCGGCCUUAUCCUUAUCCUUAUAGUGAUCUCGCUUUGAAAAGAGGACUUUCAUAACAAGUGGAGUCGUCUUGUGGGUAUCAACAAGAAAAACCCUUCUCACAUAAGAGCUCAAGAAUAGAUGCCUUGCCCGAGAACAGGGAUUUGAACCAUUGGACUUUUCUAGCUGUCCUGCCACUGGGUUCCAAGUUCGUACGUAGCUAGUCCAUUUCUAGCAGGAAUUGCAUUUUAUGACAUUGGCCCGUUCCUCAAUACAAUAGUUCCGUAGUGCCAGGUGGGAAGCAUCCUUCUUUGAAUAUGAUGAUGGGCUCCCCGGUUUCAAAGAUAAUAAACCUAUAGUUAUAUUACUUGCGUGUUGGUAAGGCGGCUAAGGUUCUUACGUAUCAUAGUUUAGUUCCUUGUUUGUCUAAGAGGAGUUCAUAUAGCCAGUCCAGUAUGGAACCAGAUCCGGAUAUCCGUACUUUUGGUGGUGCGGUUCAGAGCAGAGGAGAUCGGUGUAGGUUGACAAGAAAGUGCGCCGCUAGCUUUUGUGUGUUCACACAAGGUCAGAAGGAACCUCCGAGUGGAUCCAACAAAGAAUCGAUUCUAUGCCUUCUCUUUCAAAAUGGGAAGUAUUAUGAAGUUUAAGUCAUGUGCUGUAGUUAAUUCCCUUUGUCUUAAGUGAUCUAUUAGAGAGCUUCCCUGUGACCGCCCGAAGGGUAAGAAAGAGAUGCUCUGUGUAGCUAACCCCAAGUCUGGUAACCUUUGAAAAUAGGUUUCUGACGUCACUGCCUUUCAUGCCAAGCUUGACGCUCUUGCUCUUGCACAGGCGGCGGGUGGAUCAAUUUGUGUAAACGAUCGCUUUCUUUCUAUGUCUCCCAAUCGAUGCGGUACUGCCAAUCGUAGACUGGUGACCGGGGAAUGAGAGCUCCAUACACCAUGAUUCAUGGAGUCUUCCUCUCGUUUUUAGGUUGUUUGUGUAUAUACCCAACUGUAGGUCACCUAUGUGACCAAUCCUCACCAUUGGUUUCACAGCACUUAGUAAGCAUACGUUUGAAGACCGAGUUGGUUGAUUUGGUCUGUCCAUUCGCUCUAGGAGGGGCUCGACUUCCUUUGAGCUAUGAGAAAUGGGAGCGCCUUCUUCUUUUUUUUCAGGGAUCUCCUUGGCUACAAAGAGAGCUAUGGAGCCUAGAUGAAAGCUUGACAAGGCCUAUUUAGUGUAUUCGGCCACCCAACCACUCGCAGAAAGAAAGGGGCAUUCAAAACUUGACAGGGAUUCCUUCUCCUAGGGUUGCUCUGAGGUAACCGCUCGUCUUGAUGCUGGCAGUCAAGAAGGCAAAGAGUUGACUUCUACUUUUGAAGUGUAAGGAGUUGACCUUCCUUCACCUAUCUCGGAUUCUGCUACAGAUUGGAACAAUAGUUCACAUUCGCUUGGGAAUACCAAAUAGAAUGCAGUCGAGACAACCACAAGUAGAGGAACGACCGACACAGCUGGCAUGCCCCCGCAACCUUCGAUCCAUCUAUCUAAACAUCGUUCUACUACAGAACUGAGUUCAUCAUAGCAGCCAGCCUCGGUAAGGUUAACUAGCAACUUGACUCACUGCACUCGAAAAAGAUAGCAAAGCGACAAUCGGUCGGUAUGGGUGGAACCUAGUAUAGCUGCGCUUUCUUUUCUUCUUCUUGGUCUAGUCUAUCUACCCGUCUCUAAGUAAGCCCCUCACCUUCCCUUUUUGGAGUAGAGGUCAGAGGCUAGUGCGGGUAGCCCUGUCGGAAACUAGAAAGAAGAGGUUGAUGCACCUGCCCGGCGGUGGGUGGGUUCAGCUCGAUCAACUGGGAUAGGAGUUUUUUCUCUAUCUUGCUCCAUGGUGUUCAAGCAGUGCGUCCAGAAAGCUGUGAUUCAUGGGAGGGAGCAGCUUCAAUAGCUUUGGCUGUAAAAACUCUUGGUCUUGGAGCAUCAGUGUCAUCAGUUCACCCAAGAUCAGCACAGGACAAAUAACUACUAGGUUUGUGCCAGAAAAGCGUCUUGCGUGACGGGGAAAGAGUGGAAAAAGAAAGAGAUUCAUCAGCUAUGGAAUCUGACAGGUAUCGGUAUUGAACAGAGGGGGCUGUUCACAAAGCAUCCCAUGGUGCGCUCCGAGGAGGGGAAAAAAGAUACCACACACAAUUCUAAAACUCGAAAUUCGUUCCUAGAAAUCCGUGAAAUCAUUGUUCUGGGUCACCUUGGCUUUUGUGUUCCGUAGUGACUAGGGGAAGUUGCCCGGCUUGGUAUCUCUCCUACUUCUUGACCUUGCUUCUCACCAUUAGGGGAUAGAGUCUAGUAGUUCCUUCCAUGCCAAGGAAACUUCUAUCGAUUGGCGCCGUUGGUUGGAAAUUUGCAUAGCAUUCCCACGCCUCGUUCUUCAUCAGCUUGGUGCCGCUUCAAUUACGAGGUCUGUCAGCUUCCAUCUCCCGAUGUUGCUACUCGUAUCCAUUCCUCCCUGGAACCUGUUGCGAAGAGCUUGCAAAGGUGCCAAGGUUGCCUGAAUCGAAUCAAAUAAGAUCUCUGCCUUCUUGACUAGCUAUUCGUGCUGCUCCGCUAGCUGGUGACUUGUCUGUCCCCUCAUACAUACUUACUUAGGUCUAGACCCCUAUUCGCUGACCACCGGGCUCCAUCUUUCUAGUAGCAAGAAAAAGCCUAUACUACUUCUGAUUCCAUACGACGCAUACCUCUAGAGUGUAGCAGUGACUUCUUUCUCUCUCUAGUUUAGCAGUGACUUCUUUCUCUCUCGGUGAUCCCUUGGUUGGAUACUAUUUGCAUGUUGACUAGUGGGAAUUCCAGCUAUCCCUUUCCAACAACUAGACAAGUUCGGUGCAUCUAGACUUUCUUUUUUACCGAUAUACUGAACCUAUUCCUCUCAAGCCAACCGAUUCAAACUCGUAGAAUGACUUGACUUUCGAACAAGACUACGGCACUCCUUCCUCGAGAACUGCUUUCGCUUCCAGCUAUUUAAGGCAAGACAAGAGUGGAUCGGCUUUUCCUUGCUAUAGAGGAUUGAAGCUCUUUCCACACUGAAGAUCGGAUCCAUUCCAGCUUCACUUCAACCUUGCCAGCUCUAUUGCUGGGAUUCCAGAAGUUAUAUUAAUGGAUUUGCCACCUGGCUCGCUUCAAUGGAUGAGUCGGGCUAGGGUGAUGACUCGGGCUCGGGAGUUUCCAGUGAAGGAAAAGUCUCGUAUUUCUUGAUCUAGUUCCUACCAUUUCUGAUCCGGAUCUAGCUAGAUGAGUAGUUAGUUUGGGAAACAAGGGUGCCGAGCUGAUGUGUUAUCAUAUCAUAUUUGAAAGGAAGUCAGCUAUUGAAUCAGCAACUAGUCUGGUGUUGAUACGCCGCGAUGCCUUUGCUUCACAAAAGACACAGUGAAAGAAGCCCACAUGCCCACUCUUCUUUCCCCCCUCACCUCAACCGUAUAGUAGAUGGGUUUGGGGGGCCUCGGUUUCCUAUGCCUACACCAGUGAAUUUCUUUUUCGUAGGUGAUCCCGCUCCCAAUCGCAGAUUUGAAUAAUCAAGUCGGUAUGGGGCUGCUGCCUUUUGUUACUCCGGAAAUAUUGGCUUCGCCUGUACAGAUUUUCUAGGGCCUGGGCGAUUUUUACCCGCUUCUCGGCGCUCGCCGUUUCAAGGUGAAGAUCCUCGUAAGUAGAGCGUAAUGUGCUCUCCCUAGGGUUCCUAUCUCGACAGGACCUUAGAACUGUUUUAAUUCUUUUCUUUAAGAACGAAAUGGAUGGUACUUCAGGUUGCGCCCCAUUUAUGGGCGGCUCUGACUCUUUGCCAUUGGCGUCUUGGCGGGACACUUUUUUCCGCUUAUCGUCAUCCUCAGAAUUAGGCAUAGCGGAAGCACUCGACGAGGCCUCUACGACAGCAUGGGCUCUUCCCCGUUUCUGGCCGGACAAUUCCAUAAAUACUAAAGUCAGAAGUAAGACCAAACCGAGAGUGAGUAGCAUAGACAAGGAUAGAUUUGUGAAUGAGACAUAGUACUCACCAAUAUUAAUA
rnacentral:lncRNA from 1 species